UGAGGGGGGCUGCUCCUAGUACGAGAGGACCGGAGUGGACGCAUCACUGGUGUUCGGGUUGUCAUGCCAAUGGCACUGCCCGGUAGCUAAAUGCGGAAGAGAUAAGUGCUGAAAGCAUCUAAGCACGAAACUUGCCCCGAGAUGAGUUCUCCCUGAGACUUAAAGUCUCCUGAAGGAACGUUGAAGACGAUGACGUUGAUAGGCCGGGUGUGUAAGCGCAGCGAUGCGUUGAGCUAACCGGUACUAAUGAACCGUGAGGCUUAACCUUACAACGCCGAAGCUGUU
rnacentral:rRNA from 1 species